rnacentral:rRNA from 1 species
AUUGAACGCUGGCGGCAGGCUUAACACAUGCAAGUCGAACGAGUGGCGGACGGGUGAGUAAUGUCUGGGAAACGGCCUGAUGGAGGGGGAUAACUACUGGAAACGGUAGCUAAUACCGCAUACCAUCAGAUGUGCCCAGCUGGGAUUAGCCAGUUGGUGGGGUAACGGCUCACCAAGGCGACGAUCCCUAGCGGGUCUGAGAGGGUGACCAGGCACGGUGGAACUGAGACACGGUCCAGACUCCUACGGGAGGCAGCAGUGGGGAAUAUUGCAAAAGGGGAGCAGGCCUGAUACAGAGAUGGCGAGUGUGUGAAGAAGGCCUUCGGGUUGUAAAGUACUUUCAGCGGGGAGGCGUUACCCGCAGAAGAGGCACCGGCUAACACCGGGCAAGCGGCCGCGGUAAUAC